rnacentral:rRNA from 1 species
CAGCACCUCAAGUGGUCAGGAUGAUUAUUGGGCCUAAAGCAUCCGUAGCCGGCGCUGUAAGUUUUCGGUUAAAUCUGUACGCUCAACGUACAGGCUGCCGGGAAUACUGCAGCGCUAGGGAGUGGGAGAGGUAGACGGUACUCGGUAGGAAGGGGUAAAAUCCUUUGAUCUAUUGAUGACCACCUGUGGCGAAGGCGGUCUGCCAGAACACGUCCGACGGUGAGGGAUGAAAGCUGGGGGAGCAAACCGGAUUAGAGACCCGAGUAGUCC